rnacentral:lncRNA from 1 species
ACUAAUUAUUUCAUUAGUUUUUGAUUUCAUGGCUGAUUUUGAAAGUUUCUAUGAAUACAUGCUGGAAGUAUAUGAUGAAUGAACAUGGAAUUAAAGCUUUAAUUUUGUUAUAUGAUGAUUUUAUUAAGUAAUUUUGAUAGAAAUUGAUUUUAGGGACUUAAUUGUGAAAAAGUUGAGAAUUAAGGUUUGGUGUUGCGGUUUUGAGUAUGAAAGGCUAUGUAGUAGUUUAAAAUAGUUGGAAAAGGUGUUAAUUGAGAAAAAUUAGA